rnacentral:rRNA from 1 species
CAUGAGCAGCAUAGUGGAUGACUUGGCUUGUGUGUCUACUAAGAACACAGUUAGCUGUAGGAGUUAUCUUAUCAUGAAUGGCAGGACACAUCGAUCACUGACAGUUUGAACACACUUGUGGCCCAGGUUCAUCUUGGAGCUAUGACUGUCUGAGUGUUA